rnacentral:rRNA from 1 species
AGAACGGACGUUGGCGGCGUGGAUUAGGCAUGCAAGUCGAACGAAUGCCAAGGGGGUAACUCUGAGGCGGAAGUGGCGAAAGGGGCAGUAAUGCAUGGGUAACUUACCCUGGAGUCAGGCAUAGCCGUCCUAACGGACGGGUAAUUCUUGAUGGCCCAGCGAGGUGGCAUCAUUUUGCUGGUAAAGAAUUUCGCUCCGGGAGAGACCCAUGUCGUAUUAGCUAGUUGGUGAGGUAACGGCUCACCAAGGCUAAGAUGCGUAGCAGGUGUGAGAGCACGACCUGCGCCACUGGCAUUGAGACACUGGCCAGACACCUACGGGUGGCUGCAGGUCGAGGAUCUUCGUCAAGUGGGACGAAAGCCGUAGAACGAGCGACGCCGCGUGCGCGAUGAAGGCCGUUACGGGUUAGUAAAGCGACGAAAGGUGGGACGAAGGCCGAAAGGUUGACCGAUCCGACAGUAAGCGUGGCUAAGUCGU